rnacentral:lncRNA from 1 species
AGAGCGGCGUGCUAACCUGGGAGGACUAGGUUUUUUCCGGCCAGGGAGUGGAAACCUGAGAAGUAGGGAGAACCUUCCUUCUCCGCCCCUGGACGGUGGUUUUUCUUUUUCUUUCUGAGACAGGGUCUCGCUCCGUCGCCCAGGCUGGAGUGCAGUGGCGUGAUUUCGGCUCACUGAGGCCCCGACCAACCUCUCGGGCUCGAGCGAUCCUCCCACCUCCUCCCCAGUAGCUGGGAUUACAGGCACACGCCACGACGCCCGGGUAGCAUUUUUUUUUUUUAACAGUCGGCGUCUUGCCAUGUUGCCCAGGCUGGUCUUGAACUCCCGGCCUCGAGAGAGCCUCCCGCCGUGGCCCCCCCAAAGUGCUGGGAUUACAGGCGUGAGCCACCGCGCCCAGCCGAGAUUAUUUCUGUCACUAACAAUAAUGUGGCAUUCUGGAACGCUAUGUGCCACAUACUGUUCUAAGAAUUUUAAAUGUAUUUACUCAAUCUUCAAUACAUACUUACAGAGCACUCUCAGAGAAGUUGCCCCCCCACCCAUGGUACUAUUAUUAUCAAUAGCCACUUAAGGGGUAUUAGUACUAUUAUCAGUAAUUUAUUUUAUUUUUGAGACGGAGUUUUUCGCUCUCGUCACCCAGGCUGGAGUGCAGUGGUGCGAUCUCGGCUCACUGCAACCUCCGCUUCCCGGGUUCAAUCGAUUCUCGUGCCUCAGCCUCCCGAGAAGCUGGGACUACAGGCGCCCACCACCAUGCCCGGCUAAUUUUUAAAUUUUUAGUAGAGACGGGGUUUUGAACUCCUGGUCUCCAACGCCUGACCUCAAGUGAUCCACCCGCCUCAGCCUCCCAAAGUGCUAAGAUUACAGCUCGUGUUCUUCAGUUGUCUUCCCUACGCUGCUGCCUCGGCAGUCACUAUCUCCUCAGGAAGCAGUCCCACCCGCCCCUUUCUCUUCCACGGCAUCCACACCAUCCGGAUGCCUGGAUUCAAAUGCCACGUCACCACUUGCCAGCUGCAGUGCCUUCGACAAGUUUCUCAAUCACUCUGUGCCUCAGCGUCCUCCUCUGUAAAACGGCGAAUGAUGGUAGCGCCUACCUCAUAAGCUUGUGAGGAUUAAGUGAGAGUCUAUCCAGUGUUGAGGAGAGUGGCAUAAAUAAAGCGCCUAGUGGUA